rnacentral:rRNA from 1 species
UACAGAGGUCUCAGCGAUUGUUCGGAUUCAUUGGGCGUAAAGGGUGCGUAGGCGGCGCGGUAAGUCGGGUGUGAAAUCUCGGAGCUUAACUCCGAAACUGCAUUCGAUACUGCCGUGCUUGAGGACUGGAGAGGAGACUGGAAUUUACGGUGUAGCGGUGAAAUGCGUAGAUAUCGUAAGGAAGACCAGUGGCGAAGGCGG